CAAACUGAAGAGUUGACAUAAUCCUAUUACUCUGUCUCCAUUUCUCUGCUGUUCUUUUGGCUGGAUCCUCCCCCAUGUGUUGGUUUCAUACUCCAGUUGCCACCAAAAGGACUGGAUAAUUCCAGCACAUGGAAUUACUCAACCACAUCCAAGGUCGACUCACUUCUGGCCACUGAUACAGUCGCGCCAGAAGGACCGGCACUGGGGACUGGACACACUCACAUUGCGCCCUUGAUUUGGGGGGACUGGAUUAACAAAGGCGUGAAUCUCAGCUCCCAACACUCCUGGGACAGGGCUGAUAAUGGUACCACUCCACUUCAUCUGCAAAACGGUACUUACUAAGGCCACUUAUCCCCCGGCCCCGGAACCGGGAAUCAAACUCAGGGUCUUGCGCUUGCCCGGCAGGCGCGGCGCCGCUGAGCUACAUCCCAGGCCCCACUAAAGCUACUUUUGUCACGACCCAAACUAGAUGAGAUUUAGUAAUUUAGCACAACAUGUAGAUUUAACAAUUUUCUUGUUUUCUCCAUGUCUCUGUCACUUUCCAACUCCUCCUAAACGUUCUUUCGGCUUGCAAACGGGACAGAACUUGGCAAAGGCAGGUGUGACGAGAGGCCUGCGCCGGGUCUAGGGGUGGGGGCGAGACUCGGACACUGACAGCCGCAGCCUUUGGGGAACCCGGGCGCGGGAGUCGCCAUAAGCUUCACUCCCAGACUUCGCCCCGAGACGGAGGCCGCCGCCACACUCUCCCUCUGAGGAGAGGGCGGAG
rnacentral:lncRNA from 1 species